rnacentral:rRNA from 1 species
GCCAAAGUACCAUGAAUAUACCGGUUCUCGUUAGAUCACCGAAGUUAAGCAUCAUUGGGCGCGGUCAGUACUUGGGUGGGUGACCACCUGGAAACACUGCGUGCCGUU